rnacentral:rRNA from 1 species
UGGGGGCAAGACCACAGGGAUUGCCUUAGUAACGGCGAGUGAAGCGGCAACAGCUCAAAUUUGAAAUCUGGCUCCCUUGGGGGCCCGAGUUGUAAUUUGUAGAGGAUGCUUCGGCGUGGGCCCCGGUCUAAGUUCCUUGGAACAGGACGUCACAGAGGGUGAGAAUCCCGUACGUGGCCGUGGGUGCUCGCCAUGUGAAGCUCCUUCGACGAGUCGAGUUGUUUGGGAAUGCAGCUCUAAAUGGGAGGUAAAUUUCUUCUAAAGCUAAAUACUGGCCAGAGACCGAUAGCGCACAAGUAGAGUGAUCGAAAGAUGAAAAGCACUUUGGAAAGAGAGUCAAAAAGUACGUGAAAUUGUUGAAAGGGAAGCGCUUGCAACCAGACCUGCCUGCGGUUGCUCAUCCGGGCUCUUGCCCGGUGCACUCUUCCGCAGUCAGGCCAGCAUCAGCUCUGGCGGUCGGAUAAAGGCGGCGGGAAUGUGGCUCCCCUCGGGGAGUGUUAUAGCCCGCCGUGCAAUGCGGCCAGCCGGGACUGAGGUCCGCGCUUCGGCUAGGAUGCUGGCGUAAUGGUUGUAAGCGGCCCGUCUUGAAACACGGACCAAGGAGUCUAACAUCUGUGCGAGUGUUUGGGUGUCAAGCCCAGGCGCGUAAUGAAAGUGAACGGAGGCGGGAACCUUCGGGUGCACCGUCGACCGAUCCUGAUGUCUUCGGAUGGGAUUUGAGUAAGAGCAUAGCUGUUGGGACCCGAAAGAUGGUGAACUAUGCCUGAAUAGGGUGAAGCCAGAGGAAACUCUGGUGGAGGCUCGCAGCGGUUCUGACGUGCAAAUCGAUCGUCAAAUUUGGGCAUAGGGGCGAGAGACUAAUCGAACUAUCUAGUAGCUGGUUCCUGCCGAAGUUUCCCUCAGGAUA